AUGGUUGGAUGGCCGGCCGUUACAUCGCCGAUGAACCGUGGCGGGCUUGGCAUCCCUGACCUUGAGAAAAUCGCGUGUGCGCUCAGGUUGCGCUGGCUUUGGCUCGCCUGGAAACACCCGGACAGGCCAUGGGUGGGGCUCGGCACGCCAUGUGAUGAAAAAUACCAAGCUCUCUUUGCAUCUGCCACCUCGGUCACAGUCCGGAGCGGUGCAACGGCCUCUUUCUGGCGCUGCCACUGGCUGGGGGAGCGGCCUCUCUGUCUGGCAUAUUCGGACCUUUUCAAGCACUCCUCUCGAAAAAAUAGGACAGUCAUGGCUGCUCUGCAAGGGGAGAACUGGAUUCAAGACCUGCGGCACGGCAACCUUGACAACAUCCUUCCACAGUUUGUGCACUUGCACCGUGCCAUCCGGUCGGCUGGAAUUGUGUUGGAGGAGGGUGUCGCUGAUGAGAUCAAGUGGACGGCAGGUGGAGGAACGGAAUACACAGCGCGCUUGGCCUAUGAUCUGGAGUUUGCUAAUCGCCCUCUGACAAACCUCCAGGAGAUCAUAUGGAAAGCUUGGGCCCCGGGGAAGAUGAAAUUCUUCAGUUGGCUGCUUCACCAUGACCGUCUAUGGUGCAACGACAUGCUGCAGCGUAGGGGGUGGGAUAAUCACUACUUUUGCGCCCUCUACAACAGAAAUCUUGAGUCCUCUGUCCACCUCUUCUGGGAGUGCACAUUCACUAGGGCCAUCUAG
rnacentral:rRNA from 1 species